rnacentral:rRNA from 1 species
UACAGAGGUCUCAAGCGUUGUUCGGAUUCAUUGGGCGUAAAGGGUGUGUAGGUGGCGCCGUAAGUCGGGUGUGAAAUUUCGGAGCUUAACUCCGAAACUGCAUUCGAUACUGCGGUGCUUGAGGACUGGAGAGGAGACUGGAAUUCAUGGUGUAGCAGUGAAAUGCGUAGAGAUCAUGAGGAAGACCAGUGGCGAAGGCGGGUCUCUGGACAGUUCCUGACGCUGAGGCACGAAGGCCAGGGGAGCAAACAGG